UGCUUACCUGUUUGUGAUUGGAGAGGAGAAAAGAGAUUAUGUCUGGUAAUUUCCCCAAGGCCAGCUUGCUAAAAAGAAAACUGAAAGGGAGAGGAGGAGGCACAAUAUAGGACAGGUGCUUAGCAGGGGCCCACUGGUAUACUUCCACUGAAGCCGAGUUAGACUGAACUGCACCAAAGUGGUGAGCUAUGUCUUAAAGACGAACUGAACUGCUGAUCUAGGGCAUAGAGAGAGUUGCUAUCCCAUACUGCAGCAAAGAAAAAGCAGAACAGACAUCACUGCAGACAGAGCAAC